rnacentral:rRNA from 1 species
UACCAGCACCCCGAGUGGUCGGGACGAUUAUUGGGCCUAAAGCAUCCGUAGCCGGUCCUACAAGUCUUCCGUUAAAUCCACCUGCCUUAACAGAUGGGCUGCGGAAGAUACUAUAGGGCUAGGAGGCGGGAGAGGCAAGCGGUACUCAGUGGGUAGGGGUAAAAUCCUCUGAUCCAUUGAAGACCACCAGUGGCGAAGGCGGCUUGCCAGAACGCGCUCGACGGUGAGGGAUGAAAGCUGGGGGAGCAACCGGA